rnacentral:rRNA from 1 species
AAUAUUGGACAAGGGGGGCAACCCUGAUCUAGCCGUGCCGCGAGUGUGAAGAAGGUCUUAGGAUUGUAAAGCACUUUAAGUUGGGAGGAAGGGCCUUAGGUUAAUACCCUGAAGUUUUGACGUUACCAACAGAAUAAGCACCGGAUAACGCAGUGCCAGCAGCCGCGGUAAUACAGAGGGUGCAAGCGUUAAUCGGAAUUACUGGGCGUAAAGCGCGCGUAGGUAGUUCAGUAAGAUGGGUGUGAAAUCCCCGGGCUUAACCUGGGAACUGCUUUCAUAACUGCUGAGCUAGAGUACGGUAGAGGGUAGUGGAAUUUCCUGUGUAGCGGUGAAAUGCGUAGAUAUAGGAAGGAACACCAGUGGCGAAGGCGACUACCUGGACUGAUACUGACACUGAGGUGCGAAAGCGUGGGGAGCAAAC